AAAUAAUUUUAAAAAUAAGAAUAAAAAAGUACAAAUUUUUAAUAUUAUUUGAUAAUUGUAUUGUCUUUUUUCUACUAUUAAUUUCAACUAUCUUCAUCAAUAUCUGCAUCAAUAUCUUCAUCAAUAUCCUGUCUACUUUCUUUACAUUUAUUUUGCUGUUUUUGUUCCAUUUUCUUAGGUUCAAGCCUACAUUAACUUACUUUCAAAUUUUUACAUUUAUAUGUUAAAUGUUCAUUAUAGAAAUGCUGAUGCCCUGAGCCUUAGAUAUGAAGAAGAGAGUGGGGGCACUGAGGCUCACCAGUCUAGCUGUGACAAACCAUGACCUUGGAUGCUACAUGGUUGGGUACCCAAGCACUUAGUGUUCUGCUCACUAGGCUGAUUUUGUAUGCACCAGAACCCUGCCCAGGCUUGGGCCCUGGGGAGAUGAAAUCAAAAAGAUGGGUUCAACUCCUCCCAAGAGAAGGAGCUCCAUCCCAAAUAUAAAAUGUCAGCCCAGUCCUAGACUCUCCUAUCUCCUGCCUGCAACACCAUGAAGACUGAAUGGAUCCUCUUUUCUCUAUGUCUCCUCAUCUUGUCUAUGCCCCUCCAGACACUUUCAGGCAUCCUGUUUCCUUUACCUCUCAGAAAACAAUUGUGUGAAAGUGGACAUCUUGGAGUGAGGCCAGAAAUCUGCAACUAUCCUCCGGUAUUUGGCACCUGUAAGUCAGUUUACACGAGAUUCUACUACAACACCUUGACAUUUUUGUGUGAGCCCUUCGUCUUCUCUGGCUGUGGAGGCAACAGAAACAACUUUAAACAUAAAUUUCUCUGCGAAAAAUUUUGUAUUCCUGAAAAAGACAGAGGCAGUGGAAGAAAGGAAACCCAACAUGACAUAAGGAAGAAAUGAAGAAAAAGGAAUAUUCCUUAUGCAAAAGUAUGCCAAAAUAAUUCUGAAUAUAAAUGGGACUAUUACUGGAAGAUUUUGAAUUCAGAAUUCCUGCUAAUUUCCUUGCUCAGAUUUGCCUUUCAUGCUGAUUAUAUGUAUAAAAAUUUAACUGAAAACUUCCUGCAUGUCAGCCCCGGUCUAAAUUCAUUCAUCUCUCCCAUCCUAGAUUCUUCCAAUGUAAACCACUGAUGACCUCUCUGAAGAUACCAACCUACCCAUGUAAUGAAUUCAUCUGCAUAAAGGCAAUCAUUGUUGGCACCUCCUUGGCAUGACCCGCCAAAACUGAGUUUGCUCCUGUAUUUUGUCACUGACCCCAGUGGAUUUCCAUAUAAGUGGCACUAAAAUAAUCCUCAUUAAGUUGUUUCAUCUGCCCCAAAUCAAUGAGCAUUCAACCCUCAACAAUGCUCAUAUUCUAGGGAAAUAUCUCCAGUGCCCCAGGGACCAGGAAUAUAGAAAUUAUGACUUUACACCUGGAAGCUGCAAAUCUUGAAUGAAGCUGAACUUCUAUAAUCAGAGUAUGGAGAGUCAUUCCCCUUUGCCCUGACUUCCCUAUUCACAUUCUCAUCAAGGACCCAGCUUCACAAAGGAGUCCAGUGAUACGAGCAUUCUAAGGACCAUAAACACUGGGGGGGCACUGUAGCCCAGGGUAAGUCCAUAUAUGGGCAUGCUAAGUCAAUCCCAACAAUGGCAACCCCUGCCUCUGGACUUUGGGCACAGCCUUGGAGACAUCUCAGGAAUUGGCAGGAAGCAUAGGUUAAAGACGUCAGUCACCCUGGCCCUUCACCCAGGAACUGUUCCUGUGUAAAAAGGGACAAAUGAAAAAGGUAGUUUCUGGGUAUUGAACCAAAGUCUAGUAACCCAGACCAUUCUGAAUCCAUAGAAAACUUCUUCCUAGGCCUGGCAUCACGGGUAUGACCUAUCUGGUGCACAUUCAUGGAUUCUGAAGACUUCCCACCCUCUGACUGUUGUGAAACACAGUGUCACAUAAACAAGUAUAAACGAGUGUAAUUUCCUUGAAAACUCUUUCAGAACUAUAGUCUAGUAUUCCGAAGAAUUACUGUAAGUAAAGUACUCUCUGAAGACAAUUAGUAUCCAAAGUCCAUUUUAGCCUCAGGUUUUCAGAUUUCUCCUGGGCACUCAAGUGAUUGUCCAAGUUUCCUUCUGACUCAAUCCUAAAUUUGCCUGUAGGAUGGUUUCUGUGUGUGUUGUCUGUGGUGCUGAAGGAUGAUAUUCACAAGUGCCAACAAAGAUCAGUAAAAAGGCACAAAGCCAUACAACAUUCGCAGGCCUUCCUACAGAACUACAUACCCAAGGAGUAAUACAGGACAUCAAUUAAUGAGAAACCCAAAUGAAUUUCACAUUAAAUUCAAGUGAGAUAUUUUGAGGGGGUGAUCACUGAUAAAAGGGGGGCCACAGAUGACAACAUAAAGCAAGGUCUUGGGGUACACCAAGGGCAGAACGAAAAGAUUACAGUCCUGAGUCUGGUCUCUUCCCAAGGUCAUAUCUGAUCACUAGAGAAACUCGAAGGUUUCGUUUCUGAUUCCAAGAGGCCCCAGAAAGAAGGAAUUUGUGCAGCAGACCUUGGAAUGUGGCACAAGUUUGCCUGUCAUUCGAGAGAUACUCAGUGCCUUCCACCCUCACAUCUGGGUGCAGAGCAGAACCUGGGAGAAGAUGGAAAGAAGGGAGAUCUAAUGAUCAUCAUGAAGACACUGAUCUCUUCCCCCAUCUAACCAUCCCAUUCCAUCCCCUGUAAGGGAAUAAAUAGAGUAGGAGAAAAGCUCCAACCCUUCCUCAGGCUAGCCUUCACUGGGUCUGGUAGAUCAUUCUCCCCACAGGAAAUUCCAUAUCCAGCAGCCUGACACCAGUUCCAUCCUGCCAAGCUCUCUUUAUCAGAUCCAUCCUUGAUCUGGCCACUUCAAAACCUCAUUAGUUCUAUCUGCUGUUGCCAGAAUAAUUAUCCUCAAGCACCAUUUCUGUUUCUCAGGCCCUUGAUUCAAGACACACACUGCCUGUGGUUAAGAUUUUAACCAAAUAUCCAGGUCUCCCAUGUCUGCCCCAUAUUAUUACUGUUUCCUAUACUUUUGUCUCAACUUCAUGAGUCUUUUUAUGAGUAGCAUGGACUUUGAGAGAGGAGAGUGACCUAAUCCAAUUCUGACCUAUUGUACUUACUAGAACGAAAGGUCUGAAAUGUGAGGUGACUUGAAAAAUGCCCCUGUUAUCUCAUAGUUUCGUUUAUGUUUUAUACCUCGACUCUCAGUUGGGAACUUUCUUCCACGCACGAUGCAUUCUCUCCUUCUUCAUUCAUUCAGCACGUUCAUUGAGCACCUACUGUAAGCCAGAUACCAUAUGAGGCAUGGGAUAAAGUAGUGAGCAGAGAGGGCCAUACCCUGUUCUCAUGGAAUUGACCAUCUAAAGAGGAGACAGACAUUUAUCCAAUAACCACCCAGGUACCUGAUGAUAAAUGUUAAUACACGAUCUACAAGAAAGGCAUAGGGUGUUAUUAGCAGGUGCAGUAGAGGAACUUAAACUAUCAAUAGAUUCAGCAAAUACUUUCCAGAAUAGACGAUAUUUAAGCUGACAUCUGAAGCAUAACAAGGCACAAGGGGGACAGGCAUUCCCACCAGAGAGAAUGAUAACGUGAAUACCUUGAGGCAGGAUAAAGCGUAACAUAUUCUAAGAAUUGAAUGUGCUCCCAUAGAGCUGGGGGCACAGUGAGGAUAUGGAGGUUAGCAGGCCCAGGUCAUCUGUAUGACUUUAUAUGUCAGGGAAAGAAGUUUAGAUUUAUUUCAACUGUGAGGAAUAAAAAUGGAGGUUUUCAGGGGCACCUGGGUGGCUCAAUCAGUUGAGCAUCUGACUCUUGAUUUCCACGCAGGUCAUGAUCUC